rnacentral:lncRNA from 1 species
GAACUGUCCUAUGACCAGGCAGGCUUUGCCAGGGAGCACCAGGAAACCUCACCGACACAGGGGCCAUUUUAGCCUUUCUGUCUCUCACAGGGAAUACAAUGAGCAGGGCUGUGUGGUCUGACUUAGCAGCCAUCAAGAACAGAUCAUGGGAACCUCCACACCAAUGUGAGCAGCGAUGGCGCGCCAGCCAGCCAGGAGAAGUGUAUUUUGUAUGUGAUCCAGGCCAGUACACGGAAGGAAGCAAAAAGCUCCAGACUGCUGUUUCUAUGGCAACCCAACGUCUUCCUGUCUGCUUCCCAACCAUCAGUUGACCCAAGGCGCAGGCCUCUGCAGCUCCAGCUUGAGUCACCCAACUGGCCCUGCCCAGGACUGAUCCAUCCUCAGGAAUGGUUCUGACGACAGAAGACUGUCCAGGAAGGCUGGCUCACCCCAGCUCUCCCGUACCUGCUCCUUAGCUCGUGUGUGUAUAUGACAGGGUGACUGGGGUGGGGUCUCUCACCAGCGGGCUGUGGGGGCCCUCGAGGCAGGUCCAGCUCUGGUGGGUGGCUGCUCCGCGUGAUGAUGACCGGCUCCUCCGUCACGUUGAUGCUGUUACACUGCAUGAGGUCCUGCAGCAGGUUGAAGAUGUCCUCUGCCCUCGAACACUUGAAUGCAAAGAUGCCUGGGGAAGGACGAGAAAGACGGCACGAUAUGUGAAAGCUGGACAAGACCAGAAGGACAGAAGUGGUGAUACGUGGCUGUAAUCCCACACUUGGGAGGGAUGAGGUGCAUGCCAGGAAAGGCCCUUCAGCAAUCAACCCGGAACACGCAUUGCUUUGUGCUGUCUCGGGAGAGACAGCUCUGUCUGCGUGCAGCACAGUCCCAAGAAGGACUCCUCGUGCUGAGCAUGUGUGGACCUAAGAAGCAAGGCCAGACCUCAUGUCCCAACCUCAAGCUCAUGAGCAGCCUGCCAGCCCCUGAGCCCUGCCUGUAGAGGGCACAUGGGCAGGGGAUACAGUAUACUCCACUGCCCACAGGUGAAGGUGGACAAAGGUCAGGCUCUGGAAGGUUACGCUGUAUAUGAGAGACCCAAAAUCCUGCUGCCCAAGUCUCUGUGCAAGCUCCUCAGCCCUGAGUAGCCAUUCUCCUGCCUGACUUCUCUUCCACUGUGCACGGAGGCCAGUGUGUAGGGCCUGGCAGCUCAGGAGGGGUUUUCCUAUGCAAAGGCAAUAAAGACCUUGGAACCAUGGCAACA